rnacentral:tRNA from 1 species
CGCGGCGUAGCUCAAACAGUAGAGCACUCGAUCGAUAAUCGAGCGAUGCAGAUGCAAGUUCUGACGCCGCGACCA